rnacentral:rRNA from 1 species
AACGUAGGACACAAGCGUUAUCCGGAAUUACUGGGCGUAAAGCGCCAGCAGGCGGUAGAGUAAGUCAAUGAUGAAAACGCACGGCUCAACCGGGCGCGGUUCAAUGAUACUGCUGUACUAGAGGGAGAUAGAGGCGAGUGGAAUUCCGCGUGUAGUGGUGAAAUGCGUAGAUAUCUGGAGGAACACCGGUGGCGAAGGCGGCAUCCUGGACCGGUAUUGACGCUGAGGCGCGAAAGCCAGGGGAGCAAACGGG